GGAAGUAAAAGUCGUAACAAGGUCUCCGUUGGUGAACCAGCGGAGGGAUCAUUACUGAGUUAUCCAACUCCCAAACCCCUGUGAACAUACCUAUGUUGCUUCGGCGGGCCGUCCCGCGGCGCGCCCACGUGGCGUGACCCGGACCCAGGCGCCCGCCGGGGAACCAAACUCUUGUCUUCGAGUGUCUCCUCUGAGUGGCAUAAGCAAAAAUAAACAAAACUUUCAGCAACGGAUCUCUUGGUUCUGGCAUCGAUGAAGAACGCAGCGAAAUGCGAUAAGUAAUGUGAAUUGCAGAAUUCAGUGAAUCACCGAAUCUUUGAACGCACAUUGCGCCCGCCAGUAUUCUGGCGGGCAUGCCUGUCUGAGCGUCAUUUCAACCCUCAGCCCCCGUUCGCGGGGCGCUGGCGUUGGGGCCCGGCCGUCCUCGCGGCGGCCGUCCCCGAAACACAGUGGCGGUCUCCCGCAGACUCCCCUGCGUAGUAGCACUACCUCGCAGAAGGGACGAGCGGGCUGGCCACGCCGUAAAACACCCCACUUCUCCAGGUUGACCUCAGAUCAGGUAGGAAUACCCGCUGAACUUAAGCAUAUCAAUAAGCGGAGGA
rnacentral:rRNA from 1 species